rnacentral:rRNA from 1 species
CCGCACAAGCAGUGGAUUAUGUGGUUUAUUCGAAGCAACGCGAAGACCUUACCAGGGCUUGACAUCCCGCUGACGAGAUAGAGAUAUGUUAGGUGCCUUCGGGAAGCGGAGACAGGUGGUGCAUGGUUGUCGUCAGCUCGUGUCGUGAGAUGUCGGGUUAAGUCCCGCAACGAGCGCAACCCCUAUCCUUAGUAGCCAGCGGUCCGGCCGGGCACUCUGGGGAGACUGCCAGGGAUAACCUGGAGGAAGGCGGGGACGACGUCAAAUCAUCAUGCCCCUUACGGUCUGGGCUACACACGUGCUACAAUGGCGGUCACAAAGGGAAGCGAACCUGCGAGGGAGAGCAAAUCCCAAAAAAGCCGUCCCAGUUCGGAUUGUAGUCUGCAACUCGACUGCAUGAAGCUGGAAUCGCUAGUAAUCGCGAAUCAGAAUGUCGCGGUGAAUACGUUCCCGGGUCUUGUACACACCGCCCGUCACGCCAUGGGAGUUGGAUAUGCCCGAAGUCAGUGACCCAACGCAAGAGGGAGCUGCCGAAGGUGGAGCCAAUGACUGGGGUG